rnacentral:tRNA from 1 species
CCGUAGAGGCGAGUUACUUCGCCUGCUAAGCGAGAGGUCGCCGGUUCGAGCCCGGCCAGUCGAA